rnacentral:rRNA from 1 species
GCAGCCGCCGCGGGAAUACGGAGGGUGCAAGCGUUAAUCGGAAUUACUGGGCGUAAAGCGCACGCAGGCGGUUUGUUAAGUCAGAUGUGAAAUCCCCGGGCUCAACCUGGGAACUGCAUUUGAAACUGGCAAGCUAGAGUCUCGUAGAGGGGGGUAGAAUUCCAGGUGUAGCGGUGAAAUGCGUAGAGAUCUGGAGGAAUACCGGUGGCGAAGGCGGCCCCCUGGACGAAGACUGACGCUCAGGUGCGAAAGCGUGGGGAGCAAACAGGAUUAGAUACCCGGGUAGUCCCUGUCUCUUAUAC